rnacentral:rRNA from 1 species
GUGGUUUGUCGCGUUGUUCGUGAAAUCUCACGGCUUAACUGUGAGCGUGCGGGCGAUACGGGCAGACUUGAGUACUGCAGGGGAGACUGGAAUUCCUGGUGUAGCGGUGGAAUGCGCAGAUAUCAGGAGGAACACCGGUGGCGAAGGCGGGUCUCUGGGCAGUAACUGACGCUGAGGAGCGAAAGCGUGGGGAGCGAACAGGAUUAGAUACCCUGGUAGUCCACGCCGUAAACGGUGGGUACUAGGUGUGGGUUUCCUUCCUUGGGAUCCGUGCCGUAGCUAACGCAUUAAGUACCCCGCCUGGGGAGUACGGCCGCAAGGCUAAAACUCAAAGAAAUUGACGGGGGCCCGCACAAGCGGCGGAGCAUGUGGAUUAAUUCGAUGCAACGCGAAGAACCUUACCUGGGUUUGACAUGCACAGGACGCCGGCAGAGAUGUCGGUUCCCUUGUGGCCUGUGUGCAGGUGGUGCAUGGCUGUCGUCAGCUCGUGUCGUGAGAUGUUGGGUUAAGUCCCGCAACGAGCGCAACCCUCGCCCCUAGUUGCCAUCAUUCAGUUGGGAACUCUAGGGGGACUGCCGGUGAUAAGCCGCGAGGAAGGUGGGGAUGACGUCAAGUCCUCAUGGCCCUUACAGGCUGGGCUACACACGUGCUACAAUGGCGGUGACAAUGGGCAGCGAAGGGGCGACCCGGUGCUAAUCCCAAAAAGCCGUCUCAGUUCAGAUUGCACUCUGCAACUCGAGUGCAUGAAGGUGGAAUCGCUAG